GUAGGUCUAAGUGACAGGGCGGAGGAACCUGCAGAAAGGACAAACAUUUGUCAUUCAAAAUGUCAGCUACAGGAAUAGAAGUUAAGUUAACUAUAGUGUAGUCCCUAUGAUCAUAUAAAAUAAAAAUUCUUCAAUACUGCCUAUGUGUUCACUUUUUUAAGUGCAAACCAACUGUGUAGACUGUACAUGCAAAUCGAAAGAUUUCCUUUUGAGUUUAUAUUGCAUUUUUACCUGUGUACACUCUACAUGUUGUUGAUCUUCAAAGAAUUCAACCUGAAUAAAAGCAAAACAUGUUGAAUUGUUUCAAAAAAUAGAUUCAGACAAAUAGAUUCAAGAAUGUAAAAGUGUUACUGAAACUAGUCAGAGAACUAAAGUUUGACUUAUCUUGUUACCUGUGGAUCAGAUGAAGAUGAUACAAUAGAAUUGCUAAAGAGAAGCUGCUCUGAAUAUGUUGAUGAUUGGUCGAAAUUCCAAGGUUGCCCAUGCAAAGGCAUUUCCCACAAAAGCACUGGCCUGAUGGCCAUCAAUUACCGCUACUCAAGCUUCUUAUGCAGCAGCAUGUCGAUUUUUUAGCAGCUGCUGUUCUGCUAAGAACAACAAAUUGAGAAGAGGACAUGAUUUUUUCUGAUGCACAAGGUGCAGUACAGAUCUGGGAGAAAAUUUUCAACAGAGAUUGAGGAGGAAAAAUUGUUGGAUUUCGAGCAGAUCAUACCUGGCAAGGUCUCGACGGGAGGAAGGAGACGAUGCCUCGAUCUGAUCUCUGCCUGUCCUUCUUUUUCUUGCGCAAGGGGUAUAGCUAUGACUUGGUCAGCCCACAUGAGCCCAGCCAGCAACAUAAUUGCACGAGACAGGUGACUUGGUCAAAAUCAAACAAAAGCCCAGAAAGAUACUUUGUGCAUCAGGUGACAGGCAGAAAGACAUGGGCCAGAAAGCAAUCAGGUGACAGGCAGGAAUCAACAUGGGCCAGAAAGCAAUCAGGUGACACAGCAGAAAGACACGAGACAGAAGGAAACGACCAGCGAUCGAUGGUUUUCUGGGCGUCGACUGAGACUUAAAAUUUUCUCAGUCGACUGAGACCCAGGC